UACGUAGGGGGCUAGCGUUGUCCGGAUUUAUUGGGCGUAAAGAGCGUGUAGGCGGCCAGGUAGGUCUGCUGUGAAAACUCGAGGCUCAACCUCGAGACGUCGGCGGAAACCAUCUGGCUAGAGUCCGGAAGAGGAGAGUGGAAUUCCUGGUGUAGCGGUGAAAUGCGCAGAUAUCAGGAAGAACACCCGUGGCGAAGGCGGCUCUCUGGGCCAUUACUGACGCUGAGGAGCGAAAGCGUGGGGAGCGAACAGG
rnacentral:rRNA from 1 species